CAAUAGCGUAUAUUAAAGUUGUUGCGGUUAAAAAGCUCGUAGUUGGAUUUCUGCCGAGGACGACCGGUCCGCCCUCUGGGUGUGUAUCUGGUUUGGCCUGGGCAUCUUCUUGGAGAACGUAGCUGCACUUGACUGUGUGGUGCGGUGUCCAGGACUUUUACUUUGAGGAAAUUAGAGUGUUUCAAGCAGGCACACGCCUUGAAUACAUUAGCAUGGAAUAAUAAGGUAGGACCUCGGUUCUAUUUUGUUGGUUUCUAGAGCUGAGGUAAUGAUUAAUAGGGAUAGUUGGGGGCAUUCGUAUUUAACUGUCAGAGGUGAAAUUCUUGGUUUUGUUAAAGACGGACUACUGCGAAAGCAUUCGCCAAGGAUGUUUUCAUUGA
rnacentral:rRNA from 1 species